rnacentral:lncRNA from 1 species
CCCCUAUCCAUUAGUCCAUCGUCGAGAUUCAUAACUUCCCACCAUCACCCAGGCCUACUACCGGUGAGUCUCCUCUCUACUUCAUUUUCUUAUUUUCCUCCUUUCGUGCAUAGAGAAAUAAUGGGACCAGACUUUUCAAUGCCAUGCCAAGGUAGCCUCCUUUUCCCCAUACCUCUCUUGGAUGCACCUCUUCCUCACAUGAAUAUGGAACCCAGAGUAUGGGCCACCAAACUGC